CAGUCUUAGUUCGGAUUGUAGGCUGCAACCCGCCUACAUGAAGUCGGAAUUGCUAGUAAUCGCGGAUCAGCAUGCCGCGGUGAAUACGUUCCCGGGCCUUGUACACACCGCCCGUCACACCAUGGGAGUUGGUAACACCCGAAGUCAGUAGCCUAACCGCAAGGAGGGCGCUGCCGAAGGUGGGAUCGAUGACUGGGGUGAAGUCGUAACAAGGUACC
rnacentral:rRNA from 1 species